AGGUUCUUGUCGCAGCAGAGCUGUAGCCAAGGGUAUAAGUUUGAGGACAAGUGAUGUACAGUGCUACAGCAGCAAGUCUAUUGGACAGUCUCACCUCUGACCUCUUUGAAGGGUUUCUUAGGCUUGGAGGCCAUCUGCGAGCCAAUCUGAUGUGGUGAGUACUCAUUCGGGGAGCUCCGGACAAUCGAGGGACUCCUCACAUUCCUAGGCUUGGGGGACAGCGGCCCAGACUCCUCGGGUGUGCACUUCGACUUGGACAAAGGGGGCAGUGGCUAAUGGGAAGAGGAAUAAGAUGGAUUUUAAAAAUAAAAGGCUGUAGCUCAGUCUGUUGAAGAUGCUGGUAGCAGGGUGUGCGGACUACAAGCCAUGGGAUAGUUGCCAAGAAAAUCCAGUCCCAAAUGGACACCAGAGAGCUGGGGUGCAGAAUUUACACUAGAAUUUCUGCAGGGAAGUGGGGAGACCAGCAAGGACCCCAACCUCUGCAGGGGUCCCCUUCUUUCCCAGCUCCUCCUGUGCUCUGCUGCCCGGCGGAGUCCUUCUGUGAUGCAGUAAAAGCGCUGCGCACACACACACACACACACACACACACACACACACACACACACACACACACACACACACACACACACACACACACACACACACGUUCGUACCUUUGGUUUCUCAGUUACCUCGUUGGCUCCAGAUAGUUGGGUGCCUGCUUUGUCCCUGACGUCCCUUCUUUUGGGGGGCCGCGGUGGGGGAGCCUCAUUGCUAGGCAUCAGCUUUAGCAAAUGAUAAUAAAAGGAUUCUGUCAGCUCUUCAACUUUUGACCUGUCUGUCAGGGGUGUCUGUGGUGGGGCAGGCUCCUCUGUGAAGAACACGGCCAUGUCCAGCCAUUGGGGGGGGAUCUGGAAGCUCACUGACGGCGCCUCGCAUAAGCUGGUCACUAAGAAGGGCUCAGUGAUUUGCGCUUCCAGCCGCAGAGCGGAGAAAGAGCCCAGGACAUCAUUGGCAAGGGAAGAAUCCUUGGUUGCCACCUUGACCUCGCAGGGCAGCUGAAGCUGCUCCACUAUCUCGGGGAGGCUGUAUCUCCUGCUGUCGCUGACCUCUUCCACAAAGCCGCCUUCCAGGUGCAGCGGCAGCAUGAGCUGCUCGCUCUCCUCGUCCUCGCCGCUGCUCCUGCUGCACAGGAGGACAUCGAUGGACUUGUGCUCUGCCUGCCUGCAGACCUGGGUCUUGGCCAGGUGCAGCACCUCCAGCCGGUCCCCCAUGCUGAGAGACGGCAGAUCCUCCUCGGGGCUCUCACAGUCUUUAGUCACCACCACCCGCAGGCACUUACCCUUCUCCAGACUCGCUGUCAGGUCAAAGACUGUGGGGAACUCCCGGGGGCGUCUCCGAAACUUGCCCUGGUAGGUGCUGGAGAGCAGGAAGUGCCGGGAGCCCCUCCUGCCCUUGCUGGACGAGGCGAGGAUCCUCCAGGCACAGGACUUGCCAUGGAUUUGGAUCUUCUGCCCCUUCUGCAGGCGGGGAAUCCAGUCGUUCUCGAAGAUAGGUGGGUACUCAGGACCCUCCAGGAUCUCGGCCUGCAUGGGGAAGGCCCCCUCCAGCCCCAGGACCUCGCUCAGCAUCAGCAGCUUGAUGAAGUGGAUGUGUUGAGACUCCUCGGUGACAUCCUCCACAUCCACUUCCAGGGUGGAGGGGAUUUUCACCACCUCCUUCCGCACUGCAGGGGCGAGACAUGCAGCAGUGAGAGACAGCAGUCCCAACCCCAGCCAGUGCCACCCCAUUGACCCUGGUGAUGCCAGCUGAGAAUCAGGCCCCAGAUGCUUUUGCAGCCUACAAUAACCAGGGGUUAUCUCCCUGCCAGGGAGAGCCCGGGUCUGCACUGCUGCUCGCGCCCAGGCUGAGAUGCUGGCAGGAUGUACUGACCCUGGCUCCAAUACUGGUUAAAAACUCAGCAUGACAGCUGUCAUCCUGAGACCCUGUGGAAUGAAUAGGGGACAUCCAGAGCUGAAAGCCUGAGCUGCUGUAGCAUGAGCUAAAGUUUCUACUUGGGCUAGAUCAGAAUCCUAUCCUCUGUGGAUCAGCACGGAGAGGUCCAGUAACACACUGAUCAGUGGGUACAGAAACACUGUGUAGAGUUGCUUGCCCCCACUGGUGGCAGAGUGCGUGUGUGGCUAACUACCUGGCCAAUAUGGACAGAGAUAAAUGUGUUAGGUCAGCUGUUCUCAAGCUGUGGGUUGCGAUCCCAUUUUAAUGGGCUUGCCAAGGCCAGCUUUACACUUGCUGAGGCCUGGGACUGAAGCCGAAGCCUGAGCCCCACUGUCCCGGGCUGAAGCCGAAAAUCACACCUGGGUCACGUAGUAAUUUUUGUUGUCCAAAGGAGGUCGUGGUGCAAUGAAGUUUAAGGACUCCUGUGUUAGGUCACUGCUAUUCUAGGCAGAGGCGUGUUUUAUAACAUAGUUCCAGUGUUGUUUGUGCCCAGCUCCAAGUGCUGUUAGAUCCCCCAAUUGGCUACAAUCAAGUUUAAACCACAGUUUGAGAGGUGAAUGGGGUCUAUGGGGGCAUGGCCAAGACAUCCAUCCGCUACAGAGAUCUCCAGCUGCAGGAUCAGUUCCUUGAGACUACCAGCAGCCUGUGCACCACGUGGGGGACUGGUCCAGCACGCAACCAGCCUAGGACUGGGGAAAUACAAAGGCAGGGCUCUAGGGGGAAAGGUAGUGGUACUCUUCCAAGCUCCAACCACAAAAUAGGCCCCACCCAUGUGAGUCACCAAAAUGAGUCGCCGCUCACACAAGAUUGUGCAAAUUUAAUUUAAUUUAAUUUAAUUUAAUUUAAUUUAAUAAUGGUGCUCAGGAGUGUGACCCCCUAAGCUUCGCUGGGCUCCUGGGGGCUGGUUCCUUGCUGAGGGAAAACCUCUCAGUGAAGCAUGCAGGUCUGCAGCCUGACCCCGUUCUCCCGUGCAGCUGGACACUGACAGGCACAAGACUGGGCCCUCACCCCGCCCUGGGGGGACUGCAGCGUCGUCAGCGCUGGUGGAUUUCAGCCGGGCUGGAGCCAGCUGCUAAUGUCAGAAACUCUGCCCCUCUAUGAAUUUGAGCGCUCUGAUUGGCUGCCUGCCCCACUUGCCUGCCUCCUGGGGCUGAGCAACCAAUCACUCUGCUGUAGGAAGAGUUGUCUCCCCACCUUCAGAACCUGAAGCCAUUCUCCACGGUCAGGCAGCAAGAGAAAGAGCCCAGCAGCUCAGGCUGGCUCCUAUGAACCCUGGGGACAGGUGGCACACUUCUGAUCCCCCCUGGGAGGGGGAAAGGGGACCCCAGAAGCCCCCCUAGCCUGGGAGAGGGGUUGGAGAACCCCAGGAAGAGCAGAGGUGAAGCUGUGGAACAGAACUGAGAGAUUAGGGGCUUGGUGAGUGAAGUGACAUGGGGCUGAACUGAUAGGAGGUCGGUCCUCGGGGGUAAGCUUGAUUUGGACACUGAGGGGUAAUAUUAAUUGCUGGACAGGUGAUGGGCAAAACUGGGGGUGAGAGCUCCUGCAGCAGGGGCCAAGAUCCCCCAACCCAAUGAAUCUGGGAGUGUGGGCAGCCCCACUUGUCACCCCACACGCUGGGCAGCCCUGCUUGUCACCCCACACACGCUGGGCAGCCCUGCUUGUCACCCCACACACGCUGGGCAGCCCCGCUUGUCACCCCACAUACUGGGCAGCCCCACUUGUCACCCCACACACUGGGCCCCACUUGUCACCCACACACUUGGCUGGGCAGGGGGAAUUUGGCACCCAGAAGACAUACCAAAACACAUAAUCUUUUUUUAAAAUCUCAUGAAUUUUGGGUGUGAGUCAUGAUUUUU